GUUUUGGAUAAUGACUUAAAUUGUAAGAUACCCCUUUACUCCUUUCAUGGGUGGAACACGAUGGUUUACAAAC